rnacentral:rRNA from 1 species
AGCUCAAAUUUUGGAAAGUCUGGGCGCUCUCUCGGGGGUCUCUCUCUGUAAUCUCGAAGACGUGUUUUCCGUGCGCGUCUAUGUGACACGUCUCUCUGUGAAUAGGGCAUCGCAAAGGGUGAGAAUCCCGUACUUGCCAUGGAAGAACCGUGCUUUGUGAUACACGCUCCAAAAGUCGAGUUGUUUGGGAUUGCCGCUCAAAGUGGGUGGUAGACUCCCUCUAAAGCUAAAUAUCGGGGAGAGACCGAUAGCGAACAAGUACCGUGAGGGAAAGAUGAAAAACACUUUGGAAAGAGAGUUAAAAGUACGUGAAAUUGUCGAAAGGGAAGCACUUGAGCGCCGGCUGCUUGAGACUUCGUGGCUUUUGG